rnacentral:rRNA from 1 species
UUUAUACAGUGAAACUGCGAAUGGCUCAUUAAAUCAGUUAUCGUUUAUUUGAUAGUACCUUACUACUUGGAUAACCGUGGUAAUUCUAGAGCUAAUACAUGCUAAAAAUCCCGACUUUUUGGAAGGGAUGUAUUUAUUAGAUAAAAGACCAAUGCUUCUUCGGAAGUUCUUUGGUGAUUCAUGAUAACUUUUCGAAUCGCAUGGCCUCGAGCCGGCGAUGGUUCAUUCAAAUUUCUGCCCUAUCAACUUUCGAUGGUAGGAUAGUGGCCUACCAUGGUUUCAACGGGUAACGGGGAAUUAGGGUUCGAUUCCGGAGAGGGAGCCUGAGAAACGGCUACCACAUCCAAGGAAGGCAGCAGGCACGCAAAUUACCCAAUCCCGACACGGGGAGGUAGUGACAAUAAAUAACAAUACAGGGCUUUUUAUGGUCUUGUGAUUGGAAUGAGUACAAUUUAAAUACCUUAACGAGGAACAAUUGGAGGGCAAGUCUGGUGCCAGCAGCCGCGGUAAUUCCAGCUCCAAUAGCGUAUAUUAAAGUUGUUGCAGUUAAAAAGCUCGUAGUUGAACUUUGGGCUUGGUCGGCCGGUCCGCCUCAUUGGUGUGCACUGACCCGACCGAGCCUUUCCUUCUGGAUAACUAUAGUGCUUUUUAUUAAGUGCUAUAGGGAGCCAGGACUUUUACUUUGAAAAAAUUAGAGUGUUCAAAGCAGGCAUACGCUCGAAUAUAUUAGCAUGGAAUAAUAGAAUAGGACGUACGGUUCUAUUUUGUUGGUUCUCUAGGACCGUCGUAAUGAUUAAUAGGGACAGUCGGGGGCAUCAGUAUUCAAUUGUCAGAGGUGAAAUUCUUGGAUUUAUUGAAGACUAACUACUGCGAAAGCAUUUGCCAAGGAUGUUUUCAUUAAUCAAGAACGAAAGUUAGGGGAUCGAAGACGAUCAGAUACCGUCGUAGUCUUAACCAUAAACUAUGCCGACUAGGGAUCGGGCGGUGUUCUUUUUUUGACCCGCUCGGCACCUUACGAGAAAUCAAAGUCU